CGGCGGGUGGCGUGGGUUGAGGCGCUGGCGACGCUGGUGGCGCCGUCGGGGACGCCUCGGCCGCCGGUGGGGGCGCAGAGGCCACCUGCGGCGC
rnacentral:tRNA from 1 species